rnacentral:rRNA from 1 species
AGCGAACGCUGGCGGCAGGCUUAACACAUGCAAGUCGAACGCCCGUAGCAAUACGGGAGUGGCAGACGGGUGAGUAACGCGUGGGAACAUGCCCUUUGGUUCGGAAUAACUCAGGGAAACUUGAGCUAAUACCGGAUAAGCCCGAGAGGGGGAAGAUUUAUCGCCGAAGGAUUGGCCCGCGUCCGAUUAGCUAGUUGGUGAGGUAAUGGCUCACCAAGGCGACGAUCGGUAGCUGGUCUGAGAGGAUGAUCAGCCACACUGGGACUGAGACACGGCCCAGACUCCUACGGGAGGCAGCAGUGGGGAAUAUUGGACAAUGGGGGCAACCCUGAUCCAGCCAUGCCGCGUGAGUGAUGAAGGCCCUAGGGUUGUAAAGCUCUUUCGGCGGGGACGAUAAUGACGGUACCCGCAGAAGAAGCCCCGGCUAACUUCGUGCCAGCCGCCGCAGUAAUAC